rnacentral:rRNA from 1 species
AGUGAACGCUGGCGGUAGGCCUAACACAUGCAAGUCGAACGGCAGCACAGUAAGAGCUUGCUCUUACGGGUGGCGAGUGGCGGACGGGUGAGGAAUACAUCGGAAUCUACUUUUUCGUGGGGGAUAACGUAGGGAAACUUACGCUAAUACCGCAUACGACCUACGGGUGAAAGCAGGGGAUCUUCGGACCUUGCGCGAUUGAAUGAGCCGAUGUCGGAUUAGCUGGUUGGCGGGGUAAAGGCCCACCAAGGCGACGAUCCGUAGCUGGUCUGAGGGGAUGAUCAGCCACACUGGAACUGAGACACGGUCCAGACUCCUACGGGAGGCAGCAGUGGGGAAUAUUGGACAAUGGGCGCAAGCCUGAUCCAGCCAUACCGCGUGGGUGAAGAAGGCCUUCGGGUUGUAAAGCCCUUUUGUUGGGAAAGAAAAGCAGCAGGUUAAUACCCCGCUGUUCUGACGGUACCCAAAGAAUAAGCACCGGCUAACUUCGUG